rnacentral:snoRNA from 1 species
GACCUUACUUGAACAGGAUCUGUUCUAUAGGCAUCCUUUACCAAUAAGAAGGCAAGCACUUCAGUCUGGUUGAUGCAUUCUGACCACUGGGCCAGAGCGUGAUUAACGGCCACGAUACAUCUGAUGGAUGGAUCCCAGCGGCUGUAGAGGAUCGUUCCAUCCUGUAAGUUUCGUCUGACAGACA